rnacentral:misc_RNA from 1 species
CGCACAUUGCGCCCCUCGGUAUUCCGUGGGGCAUGCCUGUUCGAGCGUCAUUUACCCCCUCAAGCCCAGCUUGGUAUUGGGUGCUUGUCCCGCCCCCGCGCGGCGACUCACCUCAAAGUCAUUGGCAGCCCGCAUCCGCCGGCCGUGAGCGCAGCACAGACGCGCCCUAGGUCCCGGUGGGUCGGCUCUCCAGAAGCUUGUUUUAACCACAAUUGACCUCGGAUCAGGUAGGGAUACCCGCUGAACUUAA